AACAACUUUUAUCUAUAGCGCUUUCGCCCUACCGGGCUCUUCAGUAGAUUUAAAAACAAAGUAAACAAGAACAUUAAGACGUCAAUCUCGUGACGUUAGGCAGGCAACGUUAUACAAACAAACUGUUGAAGACGUGAUUAUGACGUCAAAACAUAGUGACUUCAAUAUAGCUACAGCCUAUUAUAGGCAGCUUAAACACAACGUAACUAAAAACAUCAGCAAGAAUCGACAUUCAUUUAUCUUAAGAUAAAAACAUCAUUAGAAUAUUUCCGAUGAAUCUUUAGUGUACAAGGUACAAUUUGAUACCUUUUUGAAAUCGGUUUUACUUUCGAUAGCCACUAGUUAUAGUAUUUUAUUGACAUAUUAUUUUUGUUUUAUCCCACUAAGUCUUUAUUAUGUAUAAUUUACACUGUAAUCUUUAAUUCAGACAAUAAUCUGUAAAAUUUACACCUUAGUUUGUAAUUUUCUUACACUUAUCUGUAUAUUGGACAUAUUAUGUCGAUUAAAGAAACAAGUCUUACAAAGUGUAAAUUUUACUAAUCGGUAUGAAAUUUACACUUUUAAGUAUAAUGAUAUUUACAGUUUAAAGUAUGAAAUUUACAGAUUGAUGUGUAAAUAAGAAGGUACGUUUUGUUCAGAUCUUGCCCACAAAUUCAGAGGAUGUUUAAAUCUCUGGACAAUACCUUUACAUUAUCAUGUACAGGUGCAUUUAAAGAACAAAAUUAAACAAUUUCAUCCUGUAAUAAAAAAGAAUUAUUAUUCCAACAUUUUGUCAUAUUUCUUAGAUUUAGUCCAAAAUAAUAAAAAAUGAACUUUUUUUCUUUUUCUUUUUUUUUGGUUAAAAG